rnacentral:tRNA from 2 species
GCCCUCGUAGCUCAGGGGAUAGAGCACCACUCUCCUAAAGUGGGUGUCGGACGUUCGAAUCGUCUCGGGGGCA